AUUGAACGCUGGCGGCAGGCCUAACAAAUGCAAGUCGAACGAGUGGCGGACGGGUAAGUAAUGUCUGGAAAACUGCCUGAUGGAGGGGGAUGACUACUGGAAACGGUAGCUAAUACCGCAUACCAUCGGAUGUGCCCAGAUGGGAUUAGCUAGUAGGUGGGGUAAAGGCUCACCUAGGCGACGAUCCCUAGCUGGUCUGAGAGGAUGACCAGCCACACUGGAACUGAGACACGGCCCAGACUCCUACGUGAGGAAGCAGGGGGGAACAUAGCACAAUGGGCGCAAGCCUGAUGCAGCCAUGCCGCGUGUAUGAAGAAGGCCUUCGGGUUGUAAAGUACUUGCAGCGGGGAGGCGUUACCCGCAGAAGAAGCACCGGCUAACUCCGUGCCAGCCGCGGCGGUAAUAC
rnacentral:rRNA from 1 species